AAACAGAGCUGGUAGCUGACCUUCGUGAAGCCAUUUUACGUGUGGCACGCCACUUCCAGUGCACAGACCCCAAGAACUGUAGUGUGGAGCUGACGCCAGACUACAGCAUGGAGAGCCACCAGCGGGACCAUGAGAACUAUGUGGCAUGCUUACGCAGCCACCGGCGCCGGGCCAAGGCCCUGCUGGACUUUGAGCGUCAUGACGAUGACGAGCUAGGCUUCCGCAAAAAUGACAUCAUCACGGUGUGUGGGGACCUAGCAUGCAUGCUUCCUGCUGCCUCCUCCCCACCUUCCCUGCAGCCAGCUGAUGCUGCUGAACAGUUUUGGUCUCAGCCUGGUGGGCACUGAGCAGCCUGCUUUGUGCAGGCCCUGAGCCCCGGCCUGUUCUCUCCUGCAGAUCAUUUCUCAGAAGGAUGAGCACUGCUGGGUGGGUGAGCUGAACGGCCUGAGAGGUGAGGGCUUUUGUCUGCUGCAGGCUGGCAAGGGAGAGCCUUGGCUC
rnacentral:lncRNA from 1 species